AUUGAACGCUGGCGGCAGGCCUAACACAUGCCAGUCGAGCGGAUGAAGGGAGCUUGCUCCUGGAUUCAGCGGCGGACGGGUGAGUAAUGCCUAGGAAUCUGCCUGGUAGUGGGGGAUAACGUCCGGAAACGGGCGCUAAUACCGCAUACGUCCUGAGGGAGAAAGUGGGGGAUCUUCGGACCUCACGCUAUCAGAUGAGCCUAGGUCGGAUUAGCUAGUUGGUGGGGUAAAGGCCUACCAAGGCGACGAUCCGUAACUGGUCUGAGAGGAUGAUCAGUCACACGGGAACUGAGACACGGUCCAGACUCCUACGGGAGGCAGCAGUGGGGAAUAUUGGACAAUGGGCGAAAGCCUGACCCAGCAAGGCCGCGUGUGUGAAGAAGGUCUUCGGAUUGUAAAGCACUUUAAGUUGGGAGGAAGGAAAGUAAGUUAAUACCUGGCUGUUUUGACGGUACCAAAAGAAUAAGCACCGGCUAACUUCGUG
rnacentral:rRNA from 1 species